UUGCUUUGGCAGCACAUAUACUAAAAUUGGAAUGAUACAGAGAUGGCCCUGUGCAAGGAUGCCAAGCAAAUUCAUGGAGUGUUUAAUAUUUUU
ensembl:snRNA U6 U6 spliceosomal RNA